rnacentral:rRNA from 1 species
GACGAACCGUCCAAACGUUAUUCGGAAUCAUUGGGCUUAAAGGGUGCGUAGGCGGUGCGGUAAGUUGGGUGUGAAAUCCCUCGGCUCAACCGAGGAAUGGCGCCCAAAACUGUCGUACUCGAGGGAGACAGGGGUAAGCGGAACUGAUGGUGGAGCGGUGAAAUGCGUUGAUAUCAUCAGGAACACCAGUGGCGAAAGCGGCUUACUGGGUCUCUUCUGACGCUGAGGCACGAAAGCUAGGGGAGCAAACGGG